rnacentral:rRNA from 1 species
UAGUUGGUAUUUUGGGUAAAAGCCUACCAAGCCUAAGAUCCUUAGCUGUUCUGAGAGGUUGAACAGCCACACUGGGACUGAGACAAGGCCCAGGCUCCAUUUGGAGCCAGCAGUGAGGAAUUUUGGACAAUGAGCGAAAGCUUGAUCCAGCAAUACUACAUGAGUGAAGAAGGCUUUCAAGUUGUAACACUCUUUGGUUGAGGAGGAUAAUGACAGUACUCAACAAAAUAGCCCCGGCUAACUUCGUGCCAGCAGCCGCGGUAAGACGAAGGGGGCGAGCGUUAUCCGGAAUGACUGGGCGUAGAGGGUCCGUAGGCAGCAUUUUUUGUUGGAAGUUAAAUAAAAAAGCUUAACUUUUUUCCGCUUCUAAAACGUAAAUGCUUUGAGUUUGAUAGAAGAUAGCAGAAUUUCACAAGGAGGGGUGAUAUCCAGAGAUCUGUGAAGGAAUAUCAGAUGCGAAGGCGGCUAUCUAGAUCAACACUGACGUUGAGGGACGAAAGCAUGGGGAGCAAACAGGAUUAGAUACCCUGGUAGUCCAUGCCCUAAAAGAUGAGUGUUCGUGCUUAGAGAACUUUAGGCACUUAGUUAACACGUUAAACACUCCGCCUGGGGAGUACGAUCGCAAGGUUGGAACUCAAAGGAAUUGACGGGGGCCUAUACAAGUGGUGGAGCAUGUGGUUUAAUGCGAUAAUACGCGCGAAACCUUACCAGUUCUUGACAUAAAAAAGAAAAAGUUUGAAAAAGCAAUUUUAAAGAUUUUUACAGGUGCUGCAUGGCUGUCGUAAGCUCGUGUCGUGAGAUGUUAGGUUAACUCCUUUUAACGGGCGAAACCCCUUUUUUUCGUUGCUACUUAAUUUUAUUUUUAAAGCACUCUAAAAAAACUGCUCCCUUUUUUUAAUUCGGAGAGGAAGGUGGGGAUGACGUCAAGUCCUUAUGGCCCUUAUGAACUGGGCUACACACGUGCUACAAUGGUAAAGACAAUAAGAAGUGAUAGGGUAACCUAAAACCAAUCUUUAAACUUUAUCAAAGUUCGGAUUGUGGACUGCAACUCGUCCAUAUGAAGGUGGAAUCACUAGUAAUCGCACAUCAGCAUGUUGCGGUGAAUUUGUACCUAGGCCUUGUACACACCGCCCGUCACGUGCCGGGAGUUGGC